rnacentral:rRNA from 1 species
GAUGAACGCUGGCGGCGUGCCUAACACAUGCAAGUCGAACGGAGAUUACGGACGGAAGUUUUCGGAUGGAAGCCUGUAAUUCUUAGUGGCGGACGGGUGAGUAACGCGUGGGCAACCUGCCCUAUACAGGGGAUAGCAGCUGGAAACGGCUGGUAAGACCGCAUAAGUCGGUUAAAUCGCAUGAUUUGAUCGGGAAAUGAGCAAUCAGGUAUAGGAUGGGCCCGCGUCCGAUUAGCCAGUUGGCAGGGUAAAAGCCUACCAAAGCGACGAUCGGUAGCCGGACUGAGAGGUCGGACGGCCACAUUGGGACUGAGACACGGCCCAAACUCCUACGGGAGGCAGCAGUGGGGGAUAUUGCACAAUGGAGGAAACUCUGAUGCAGCGACGCCGCGUGAGUGAAGAAGUAUUUCGGUAUGUAAAGCUCUAUCAGCAGGGAAGAUGAUGACGGUACCUGACUAAGAAGCCCCGGCUAACUACGU